rfam:Felis catus isolate Cinnamon breed Abyssinian chromosome D2, whole genome shotgun sequence.
GCCUGGGUGGCUCAGUCGAUUAAGCAUCUGACUUCAGCUCAGGUCAUGAUCUCAUGGUCCGUGAGUUUGAGCCUCACGUCGGGCU